rnacentral:lncRNA from 1 species
CCCGCCUCCGUCGAGGCCCCGCCCCCAACCAAUCGCGACGCACCGCGCUCCCGCCGAGCCAAUAGCUGCCCUGUCCGCGCGCGGCCACCUGACCCUGGGCGCCGUUGUUAUUAGGCGCGGCGAGGCGGGCGGCGCGCGGCAGCGGGGCUGGGCUCCGUCCGGGAGUCGGUGGAGGGAGCCAGGGAGGGAGCGCGCGCGCGCUCCCGGACAGUCCACCUUAGACGCUCGCCGCGAGCCUUCUUCCCGGUCGCGUUGCCCGCAGCCGCCUCGACCUCCUCGCGCGCCCUGUUCGCGGGCUCUCAGGUUCUUGAUAUGCAUCAGAGGCUGUCCUUGACUCGUUUGCCUCAGACCCUUGAGUGCUGGCAUUACAGGUAUGUACCCCCAUGCUUACCUCCUGCUUGCAUUUUUUUUUAGACAGUAUCUCACUGUGCUGUCCAGGCUAGCCUAGAAUUCACUGUCUUUCUACCCCACCUCAGUCUUCUAAUUAGCUAGGAUUGCAAGCACAGAUGCCACACCCAGACUGAGAUCUUGAAACAGUUUGUAUUCGGCUGCUCUUGCUAAGUCCAAGCCAGCUUUGGGCGAUCCGGCAGUGCAGAAGCUACAUCUCACUGAAAACAAAACUAUUUAUAAAGUGCAAGCCUGGGCUGUGUCCUUGGCAGCCAAGCCAAGGACCUUUUUCUUAAGCACCUUCUGUCCCUGUAAGUGUUAAUUAUACACAUACAGCUCUCUUGCCAACAUAGGAAUUUGGUUUGUUAUGUUAGAAAGCAUUUAGAUGAAAGAAUCUACUGGUAUACUUAAAAUUGUUAGUGUGGCUUCAGUCAUAGCAUUUGUAGAUAUCAAUUGCUUAUAUAUUUUUAUUAGAAGGAGGUGUCCAAGAAAUGAGUGUGAUUGACACUUACCCAGAACAUGAGAAUCACAUGUUUCCUGUAUCAUCUCAAGCAUAUGGGGAUUCCCAUGUGGGUCUGCCAAACUUCAGAAGCUACUCUGCCCUGCAGUAGGAUCAGCUUGGGCCUUGUUGGUUCUCUUCACACAGUGUCACUGCCCCUCCUUGUGGCCUGAUUACUGAACACAGCACAGUAGGUGAGCAGGUUCUGGGCUCCUAGGCUCGGCAGACUCACUGUUGGCAAGCAAGGAAAUGGUGCUGCCAGGAACCAGUAGCCCACUGGGCUGAACUUACUUAGCUCUCUUACAAGAUCUUAGUUCUCUGUGAGGACACUAGUAUUCCAUUGGGCUGAGUUCUUAGAUCUCUCUACAUCAUCCUAACCCUCCUCUGCACUGUGAGAAAGUAUCAGCUCUUCCACCCUCUUCACUUAGAAGAAUCUGUGUUUCUGAAGUGGAGCUUCCCUGAGGUUUUGUCUCUGGACCACUUUGUCUUACACCUCUC